rnacentral:tRNA from 1 species
CAUUGAACUUAAGAUUCAAAUAUAAAGUAUUUUUAAACUUUUAUUAA